CGGCGAAUCGUUUUUUCGUCGGAGAGUAGCAAAAUGUGAUGGGACGACAACAGCCUUGCACAGACAAGAACCACUCUUGAAACAACAGGUUAGCAACAGCAGAGGUCAUAUAAACCAUCGGCGUGUCGGUGUUUUUGAAAAAAGCCUAUGUGUAAGUCGGUUCCGAAUGUAAGGACACGGGAUUGGUGUAACGCCUUAUGCUGGGCACAUACAUCUAAAGAUUUACGCCGAAUGCUUUCGCCAUAAAUAUUUUCUGCGCAAAUUGAAAAAUAUAUAGCGGCGAGUCUCCACUCAAGUUGUGCUUUGUUUUUGCUAUCUUCGCUCCCCACCAGACGUAUGAAGACCAUAAAUUGUCGUGGGAUCCUAAACAUAAGAGGCAUAAAUGGCAAAACCAAGAGAAACGACGCGUGGCAAGUCCUAGCAAGUUCGGUAGGAAUAACGUUGAGGAUGCAAAGAAAAAGAUGUCAAGCCUUCUUAAAUAUUUCAGGCGAGAAAAAUCAAUUCACGAAAUCAAUUGGAACGGGUAA